rnacentral:rRNA from 1 species
UACGGAGGGUGCAAGCGUUGUUCGGAUUCACUGGGUAUAAAGGGUGCGCAGGCGGCCUGUUAAGUCAGGGGUGAAAUAUGACGGCUCAACCGUCAAACUGCCCCUGAAACUGAUAGGCUUGAGUUCGAGAGAGGUAAGUGGAAUUCCAGGUGUAGCGGUGGAAUGCGUAAAUAUCUGGAGGAACACCAGUGGCGAAGGCGGCUUACUGGCUCGAUACUGACGCUCAGGCACGAAAGCAUGGGGAGCGAACGGG